rnacentral:tRNA from 1 species
UCUGAUUUAACAUAUGUAUAAUGUAUAAAAAUUUUAAUACGCUUACUUUAAGCUUUUAUGUUA